GUUAUCAUACAGCACAGAUACUAAAAUUGGAAUGAUACAGAGAAGAUUAGCAUGGCCCCUGCACAAGGAUGACAUGCAAAUUUGUGAAACACCCCAUAUUUUU
rnacentral:snRNA from 1 species